UUGAAGUUUAGUUUUGUAAAUUCACCAGCUGUUAUGCAUGGCUGAUAUAGGCACAUAUGUGCGGAAACACACAUAGGUUGGACACAUGCAUGUGUGCACGUCUGCACCUUGGCAGUCACUUCCUGUGGGUAGUGGGAAAAUCUUCCAUAUAAACUGGACCCUAGUAGUCAAGUGUAUCACUCUAAGCUCUGUUAAAUGUUUUGCAUGACCACAAAAAUGCACAGCCAAGAAAAUAUGCAGCUUCUUUCAUGUAAGUGUUUUUAUCUCUUCCUUUACUUUUUUUCCUUGCUGCAACCCAAAAGCAAACUGAAUUUAUCAAGUACAAAAAGUGCCUAAGGAUAAACAGCUAUAGAAAUAACAGAAAUCUUCAGUAGAGACCACUCAGUGAAAUAAACAAGUGAAUGCUGAUGUCUGAAGAACCUGUUUCCACACAAAUAGUGAAAUCUUGUAUGCAGUCAAUUAGUGUACUAAAAUAUCUGUUGGACUAAAGCAGCUAGAUGCCCAAGACUCAACGUUGUGGCCAAUCCAUGCAGUAAAUGCAUAAAGUAUUAGCAUAUAUUAGCAUCCUGGAUUAAAUUGGUGACUUUGGAAAUAAA